rnacentral:rRNA from 1 species
AGCAGCCGCGGUAAUACGGAGGGAGCUAGCGUUGUUCGGAAUUACUGGGCGUAAAGCGCGCGUAGGCGGUUACUCAAGUCAGAGGUGAAAGCCCGGGGCUCAACCCCGGAACUGCCUUUGAAACUAGGUGACUAGAAUCUUGGAGAGGUCAGUGGAAUUCCGAGUGUAGAGGUGAAAUUCGUAGAUAUUCGGAAGAACACCAGUGGCGAAGGCGACUGACUGGACAAGUAUUGACGCUGAGGUGCGAAAGCGUGGGGAGCAAACAGGAUUAGAUACCCCCGUAGUCCCUGUCUCUUAUACA